UAGGGAAUAUUGGACAAUGGGGGCAACCCUGAUCCAGCCAUGCCGCGUGAGUGAAGAAGGCCCUCGGGUUGUAAAGCUCUUUUGUCCGGAAAGAAAAGCUUCGGGUUAAUACCCCGGGGUUCUGACGGUACCGGAAGAAUAAGCACCGGCUAACUUCGUGCCAGCAGCCGCGGUAAUACGAAGGGUGCAAGCGUUACUCGGAAUUACUGGGCGUAAAGCGUGCGUAGGUGGUUGUUUAAGUCUGAUGUGAAAGCCCUGGGCUCAACCUGGGAAUGGCAUUGGAAACUGGGCAGCUAGAGUGCGGUAGAGGGUAGUGGAAUUCCCGGUGUAGCAGUGAAAUGCGUAGAGAUCGGGAGGAACAUCUGUGGCGAAGGCGACUGCCUGGACCAGCACUGACACUGAGGCACGAAAGCGUGGGGAGCAAGCA
rnacentral:rRNA from 1 species